UGGUCCUAGCCUUGAAAUCAGUUUUUACUUAAUAUACACAUGCAAGUCUCCGCACCCCUGUGAAAACGCCCUUAACUUCCUAUCAGGAAUAAGGAGCCGGUAUCAGGCUCAAUCUUUAGCCCAAGACACCUAGCUAUGCCACACCCACAAGGGAAUUCAGCAGUGAUUAACAUUGAGCAUAAGCGCCAGCUUGACUCAGUUAAAGUAAAAAGAGCCGGCAAAUCUGGUGCCAGCCGCCGCGGUUACACCACGAGGCUCAAAUUGAUUUUAUUCGGCGUAAAGCGUGAUUAAAGUUAACCUAAUAACUAUAGUUGCACUAAAACUAAGCUGUGACACGCUUGUCUUUAAGAAACUCAAAAACGAAAGUUACUAUAUUUACAUCAACUUGAACCCACGACAGCUAGGAUACAAACUGGGAUUAGAUACCCCACUAUGCCUAGCAGUAAACUUUUAACUACACCCGUAUCGCCUGGGAACUACGAGCAAAGCUUAAAACCCAAAGGACUUGACGGUACCCCACAUCCACCUAGAGGAGCCUGUCCUAUAAUCGAUAACCCCCGCUUAACCUCACCAUUUUUAGCCUUUCAGCUUGUAUACCUCCGUCGUCAGCUUACCUCGUGAGCGAUUUAUAGUGAGCUUAAUAUCUACACGUUAAUACGUCAGGUCAAGGUGCAGUAAAUAAAAUGGGAAGAGAUGGGCUACACUCUCUAAUAUAGAAUACACGAAAGACUAUUCAUGAAACCUAGUCAGAAGGCGGAUUUAGUAGUAAAAAGAGAUCAUAGAGCUCUUUUUAACACGGCACUGGGGUGUGUACACACCGCCCGUCACCCUCUUCAAAGCUAAAAAAUAGUACCUAACAUAAUAUGGCAAACCAGAAGAGGCAAGUCGUAACAUGGUAAGUAUACCGGAAGGUGUGCUUGGAAA
rnacentral:ncRNA from 1 species